rnacentral:lncRNA from 10 species
UAGAUGGAGCAGAGUGAAGCAAGAUAAAGCCUGUUGAUUUUUCAAUUCUUGUAGUUUUCCUAAGCUUGCAGGCCUUCAGAUUUAGAGUGGAACUAUACCAUCAUCUCUCCUGUGUCUCCAGCUUUCCAUGUGACCAUAGAACCUCUCAGACUCCAUAAUCAUAGAAAACUCCAAGUAUUUUUUGCAAGGAAAAGUUGAUGAUACUGAUGAUGAUGGUGAUGGUGAUGGUGGUACUGAUUAGAGUGCUGAUGGUAGUAGUCCUGGUCCACAACCUGGCAUUUAGUGGUAGGCCUGGAGCUGCUCUUGGUCAACAGUGUCAGAAGUUGGGAAGAAGAGCUGCAUAUCAAGCAGAAGAGAAUGAGAAGAAACAGGAACCCACUUCUGCAUCUGUCUAUAGCAACAUCUGACUAUAACGACCUUCAAAAGAUAAUGGCUGUUGCUUCAUUUCCAACCCUCCAAAUCUCAAGCAAGUAUAUCUUUGGGCCAACUGUAACCUAUAACUCUAUAGGGAAGAGGUUUCUGAGAACUCUGUGUCACAGCUUAACCAUACGAAGACAAUACAAACCAUCCCGAUGAUGAUGAUGGUUGGUAAUAAUGAAGAAAAUAAUAUGAGUGUUUUCUCAAGGAAGGCUACUUCUUGAUGGCAGUUCUGGGAGACAUAAGAGAAGUUUUAUUUUUACCCAAAUGGUUGGUAAAUAAAUUACUGUGUGACAUGACAGAGUUCAAGUUAUAUGAUAUAGUAGAUUCACAUUAUGCCAAAAACUAUAAGCCUCCCAGACACAGCCCAGGAAUUCAUUUUGAGAGCUAUCAUAGGCUUCUGAAUGUGCUACCAUCUAUGCUCUUAAUUUAAACCUUAAUUUGCUGUGUGGACGACAGACUACUCUGAAAAAAACCCCAAAUGCUUCAGUGCAGGACUAUGUGUCGUGGAUAAAGUAACAAAAUUACAUAUUCAACCCAUUAUGGCCAUCCUCUUGUAUGGGAGAUGCAGAUUGUUACCAAUAUUUAACUCUUAUAAUUAACUUGAAUAAAUUUCCUUACAAAAUAAAUAUGUACACUUGUAAAUAUUCCAUUAUAGUAUCUUUCUUAGUGUAGAUAUCCUGGAGUAAAAGCAAAAUAUUUACAAAACAAGGUAACAAUUUUUAAAGCAAAAUAUCUAUUAUCAAAUUGUUCUCCAGAUAGGUAUUACCAAUUACACACCCACCAGCCCAGCAGUGUGAAAAUAUCACAUCUCCCACACCCCCAUCCACACCCACGUGGAAAAUUAUUAUUAAAAAUUAAUUUUUACCAACUUGAGAGGGAAAUGGUCUUAUUUUAAUUUUUUCAGGGGUGGAUUCAUAUGUUUACUAGAUAUGUAUAUGUAUCCUUCUAUGAGAUACUUGUUAGGUUAUUUCCCAUUUCUCUGUUGUGGCAUUAAUUUCUUUUUCUUGUUAAUAAUGCUCCCGAAGUUUUAUGUCAGUCUUUUCAUUUGUUUAUAGUAUUUUAUGGCAAAGGAUUUUCUUAAUUAAGUGGUUGUAGUCAAAUCUGCUAGUUUUUAUCUUUGUUUUCAGUUUGCAAUGUCAUGUAUAGACAUGGCUAUCUACCACCAAAAGUAUUUUAAAAAGCAAUGUGUAGGUUUUCUACUUUUGAAGAAUGUGCAUUUUCUACUUUUGAAGUAUGUGCAUUUUCUACCAAAGUCUUUGGUUUGUUUGAUAUGUGCAAUGAAGAAAAAUAUCUAACAAUACCUUAAGUUUUCUCAAAUAAUAUUCCAAUUAUCCUAAUAUCCUUUGUGACUUAAACUUCCUAUUCUGACUUAAAAAGACUUUUAUCAUAAGUGCUCUACUUAAUCAUAGCCUUAGCACAUAGUGUGAGUCCUAGAGUCAGACUACAAGGUAAUUACUGUCACUUACAAGCUGUGUGACCUUAAGUGAUUUAAUUUAAUCAUCCUGUGACUAAGUUUUCUAAUCUGUAAAAUUGGAAUAAUGUGAGGAUAAAAUUAUCAUAAGGAUUAGCAAGCUGAAUUAACACGUGUAAAGCUCAUAGACGACUGCCGGGCACAUAGUGAAUACUCAGGAAAUAUUACUGGUUGUUGUGUAGCAAGAUGUACAAUGAAACACUGGUACAAUUUCAGAUUUUGGGUUUUGAGGACCGGGCUUAGAGGGUCACCUUGGAGAGAAUCUUGUAGAGUCCCACAUCUACCCUCUGCCUCAAUGAGAUACGAUCCUCCACUUUGAUGAGAUAUUACCACUUAGAGAACUUGCUACAUGUCAAUCCCUGCUAUGGAGAAAGUAGACUUUUAAUCUAAUGCAGUAGACUUGAAAUCAUUCGAAUGUGAGAGAAGAGCUGGAGUCAGAAAGAGGUAAAAAGAGGGCCUGAGACUAUGCCUUAAAUUGUUAAUAUAUUUAAGGGAUAGAAGAAAGAACAGGAGAACUGUUAGAGAAGAUAGAAAGAAAUUGUUUCCUGGAUCAAAAACAGUUCUAGACUGGACUGUGUCUCCCACCCCUUUAAAUUCAUGUGUUGAAGCUCUAGCCCUCAAUGGGACUGUAUUUGGAGAUAAGACCUUUAAAGAUGUAAUUAAAGUUAAAUGAGGUCAUAAGAGUAGGGCCCUAAUCCAAUAAAGCCUGUGUUCUUAUAAGAAGAGGAAGAGACUUCAAGGAUGCCUGGAAAGGCCAUGUGAGGACACAGCUGGGCAGGGGCCAUCUGCAAGCCAAGAAGAGAGCCCUCAGGAGAAACCACACUUGCUGACACCUGGAUCUUUGCUCUCCAACCUCCAGAAUUGUAGCCUUGUGAUUACAUUGGGCUUACCCAGAUCCAGGUCAUCUAGGAUAAUCUCUCUACCCAAGAUCUUUAACGUAAUCACACCUGCAAAGUCCCUUUUGCGAAGAAAGGUUGUAGAGAAGGUACUGUUCCCAUUGAAAUCAGUAACGGCCAUGUGACCUGAUUUGACUCAUGAAAUAUGUGGCCACAGAGGACAACAGAAAAGGAAGACCCUCCUGAAGAGCAAAUCCAGGGGCCACGAAAGAAAAUGAACAAGAGAAUUUUUAUUGAAGAGCAGAACCUGGGACUGCCAGAUGGACCAACUAAAGAACUCACUUCACAACUAGGGCAGUGAGUCCUCACCAUUUCUUCUCAGCAAGAGUUGGCUGCUGUAAAAUCAGAGAGAUUAUUCAUGCCUUAUGGUUAAUAAAAGUAUCUAUAGGUAACUGAACCUUGAGGAGCCAAAUUGAGGCCUGAUGAAGGAGACUGUACAUCAUCCAGAGAGAAUGAACUUGGAGCAGGAUGCAAAGACUGCAGGGGAGAAAUCAGGGUUUUUCUGCUGGAGGAAGAAGCAGAGGGUACAUAGACAUAAGGUAUCCAAAGAAGCCCACUAUAGAAGCUGGGACAGAUUGCAUACUUAUUCUCAAUUCUUCACUCCUCCCUAUGCAGUAGAGCAGAGAAAAUCGAGUAUACCUGUGACUUGCUUUGACCAGUGGAAAGUUAGAGGGGACAAGAGCACAGGCUUUAAACAUGCCCAUAUGGGACUUCUGUGCCUACCAUGAGAACAUGCCCCAUAAUUGUUAAUGCAGGGAGAAUGAGGAGAUGUGGUGCAGACUCUUAGCCAAUCCCAAGAGCUGGGUUCAAGGGUAGCCAACACUCAUCCUAGAGAAGUGUCCCCUCUGACCUGCAGACACAUGGCCAAGAAAAAUCAAUGCAUGUUGUUGUAAACCAUUGCAUUUCAAGGCUGUUUGUGAUGCAGCAUCCUGGCUAAUAAACCAGCCAGGUCUAUUCUAACAAUUGUAGCUCAGAGUAAAGAAUGUGGGCAUCUCAUCAGCAGACAUGAUCACUAAAAAGACAGAGAAAAGAUACAAUGAGAAAACUAUAAGCAAACUCUUGGAAAUCCAACGAACAAAAUAGAAGAAAGAAGAAAGAUUAAGAAAUUUCUAGAAACAUCCUACAGUGGUCGGGAAGACUGAGAUAUUAAGCCUAGGAGAUAAAAAUGGACAGGCAGAUUCAUAUCAUGCUUAAAAAGAAACUGCAAAUGAUUGAGAAGUUUUUUUUAAAGUGGAACUAUUUCAAAAGUAAGAAAUUAGUAAAGGGACAAAGUUGUUAAUGCACCAUAAACAAGUGAUCAAAAGCAGAAAAAAAAAUGAACUGCUGUGGAAAUGGACACAGUGUGAUCCUAUUUUUAGUGGACUACUUGAGUUUUUUAAAAAAUUAGGAGGAAGGUAAAAGGUUCAGAAAAUAGAAACAGAAGUGUAAAUAAUACUAUGAAAUGGGCCUAGCUGAAACAGCUCACUUUUCAAAAGAAUACAUUAAAUGAAGAAUACAGAAUGAGAUCCUUAAAAAAAGAAGUCAGGAAAGUAUUACAUAGAGUAACUGCAAAGGCCUUCUCUCCUUAUAACACGGAAAUUGAUGUAUUUGAGAAUAAGGGUAUUAAAAAAGAUCUUUAAGAGUCUACAGGAAAUAGAAGAGCUAGGACAAAGCAUGGAUGUCAUGUAGAAUAUUUUAUGAUAAACUGCUGACCUGAGCCAAUAAUUCUUGG